rnacentral:rRNA from 1 species
CGGGGGGGCAAGCGUUGUUCGGAUUACUGGGCGUAAAGGGCUCGUAGGUGGCCAACUAAGUCACACGUGAAAUCCUCGGCUUAACCGGGGAACUGCGUGUGAUACUGGUUGGCUUGAGUUUGGGAGAGGGACGCGGAAUUCCAGGUGUAGCGGUGAAAUGCGUAGAUAUCUGGAGGAACACCGGUGGCGAAGGCGGCGUCCUGGACCAACACUGACACUGAGGAGCGAAAGCCAGGGGAGCAAACGGGAUUAGAUACCCCGGUAGUCCUGGCCCUAAACGAUGAAUGCUUGGUGUGGCGGGUAUCGAUCCCUGCCGUGCCGAAGCUAACGCAUUAAGCAUUCCGCCUGGGGGAGUACGGUCGCAAGGCUG